GGGGUGGGGGAGGGGCCGGGCCGGGCCGGGGCGGGCGGGCGGAGCAGACACUGCGGUACAGACGGGGGCAGCGGCGGCGGCGGCGGCUGCACCGGCGGCGGCGGCACCACACAAACAAGGACGCUGAUUGGGCAGCUGCCAAGCGCCUCGGCUCCGCCUUACUCACACGCCACGACGCCCAUUGGGCAACCUGAGCCGGCCACCCCGCCCUCCUCUUCGUGGACCUACCAAUAGAAGCCGAAAUGCGGAGGCUUCGCCCCACCCUUGAACAGUGAGUGGUAGGAGAAGAGACGAUUGGCGCAUUGAAGACCCAGUGCUAAACGGAGGAGGGGGAUGGUCUAGCGGGGGCGCGCUAAUGGGUACCUCAGCCAGUCCCAGACACAUCCGGGUCUUCGACAACCCAUUAAGUGUCGGGGGUCAAAAAAUCGCUUCAGGCUGCAACUUUACCUUAGAGACGUUUUGGUCCCCAGGCAGCCGCCGUACCCCAGGCUCCCAAAACCGGGAUUCCCCUUUGGGCAUCUUUCGAUCUUUCACUUCUAAAGAUGGAGGCUGUCGAACGGCAGUGUGCUCUGCGGUGGGCGGUGUUUCAUCGCGACAGGGUCCAGGAAUUUCACGAUAGAAGUAGCUUUAGGCGCUUGGGCCUUGCUCUGCACCUGGGGCGUGGCCUGCCUCGGUCUCCCGAAGGCCCUCUGCUUCCUGGUGUCCGUCCCCCUCUGCUUGGUCCUGCCUUGGCUGAGCCCCGCGAGCAGAAGAAAAGGCAGCUAGCGAAAUCUGGGGAGAAUUGGCGAUGUGCGGGGCCAGCGCAGCGCCUUCUCACGGGUCCCCUCGUCUGGCUGGGUUCACAGCCACCUUCUGCUGGCCUCGCUCCUUCCUCACGGCACCGGGCCCCGCCUGAACUCGAGUCUGCAGCGCUUGAGCACCCUAAGGAUAGGAACCAACUAUCACAGGAUCAGUUUGUUGAGGGAACACUGAAAACAACAUUUUGGGGAAGGAACUGUGGGGCCAGACACGAUUAUCGUGUUUAUUCCUCAUAAAUCUGGGAGACAGUUACUGUUAACUCCUCUUUUACGGAUAAGGAAAAUGAGGUACAGAACAAAUGACUUUUUCAGAGCAACGCACGUUAAGCGGCAGAGCUGACAUCUGAACCCAGGGUCUCACUACGUAUAUAGUCCAGCCUGGUCUCACUUGCAGCAAUCCUCCUGCCUCAGCCUCCCAUGCGCUGGGAUUACAGAAGGCACUACCACUCCCAGCCUGCACCUCUUGUGUUAUCAGGCACUGUUCAUGUACUGGGGAGAUAGCAGUGAUGAGACGAAGCUGCCAAACACAGAGCGCACAUCCUUCUUUUCCUAAACUACUGCUUUGUCCAUCAUCAGCCCAAGCAAAUCAUCUGCCGGCUGAAAGCCAUCCUUAGGGCUUUGAGGAAACAUGAGAAAUAGUAGUGGAAGAUACCACCAGCCUGAAGAAGAUACUGCAAGACCUGAGACAGUGCCUUCCAGCGAAAUCAAACUGCGGCCUGCAAGAGGGGCUUUCGUCAGGAACACCCCAACUCUCGGGAAGACAGGCGAGGGCCACAUGGUGUGGCCACGGGCAGAGGAGACAAUAGAGGGCAAGAGGGCAGUGAGCACGCAACAACUCUGCCUGCGCAGGCCCAGUCUGCCUGCUUUCAGAAGCAUGUAUGCAUUGUAUGUGCUUAGCAUUUCAGAUGGAUUGUUUGUACAGUCUUUAUAUGACCCCCACUUAGGAGGAAAACUGAGCCGCAACUGUUAAUAACUUGUCUGCCAUCUUCAAAUUAGUAACCACAGAGAAACAACUGAACUCAUAUUUGUUACAAUUCAGUCUGGACACCUUAUUGUAAAAAUAAAUUAAGCUGGGGUGUUGGGCCUGUCCACCCCUCACACCCUCCCUUGGCCACCGGACAGGCAUCAGCUGUCAUGCUGUGUACUUUGCUAUUGGAAUUUCCAGAUUUUUUUUUUGGAGGCAGGGUGUCCCUUUGUAGUUCAAGCUAGUCCUGAACUCACUACAUAGCCCAGGCUGGCCUUGAACUCUUGGCAGUCCUCCUCCCUCAACCCCUGAGUGCUGAGAUUACAGGCUUGCACCACCACGCCCAGCUCUGAUAUUUUUUUUCUUUGUGAUACUUGAGAUUGAACCCAGGGUCUUCUUACUGAGCUACAUCUCCAGCACCCUUUUUAGUUUGGUAUUGUUUUAUUUUGAGGCAGGCAAGCUGGGUGUGGUGGCACAUGCUUGUAAUCCCAGCACUCAGGAGGAUCACCUUGAGUUUGAGGGCAGCCUGGGUUACAUAGUGAAUUCAAGGCCAGCCUGAACUAUAUAGUAAGACCUUGUUUCAAAAAACAAAAAAACAAAAGGGACCAGGGAUUUAGCUCAGUGGUGCUACGCUUGCCUCAAAAAUGCAAGGUCCUGAAUUUGAUCCCCGGUACCAAAAGAAAAAAACAAAAACAGAAGAAAGAAAAAAGAGAAAGAGGGAAAGGAAGGGAAAGAAAAGAGAAGGAAG
rnacentral:lncRNA from 1 species